CAGUUGGGCGCGCCGGGUGGGCCGCACGCAAAUUAAUUACGUUAUGCAGUGUUCUACAUGCCUAAAAAUGAAACUCAAUGCUCCAUUAUCACAGAUGAUCACAGGUGUACCGUUGAUUGGCCAUCAUGUGGCGUACGUACGAACGCGGCGUGCACCGGUAGAUACAUGCAAAAGGCCGAUGCAACAACAUAGAGCAACCCAGAAAGCUAAAAGCAAAUUACUCUGAAAACCAGAUAGGUAAAACCAUACGGUGCUAAAGCAGAUACAUCGCCCGGGAUACAUAUGUGAACUACAUCGAUUCCAUCACGCUGGAUACAUAUGGGGAUGGGGCUGAGAUUCAGAGCUUCAGCAUGCAAAUAAUGGCCAUGAGCACCAGGUCGACGACGCCGAGGACCAAAAUGUUCUUCAGCCAUGCUUGAUUAUAUUCAAGCAGUGAUACAUGAUGAUAGACGGAUGCAUGGGAAAUCAGGUGUCCCCAACUAGCGCUGAAGUACUGUAUUACUUGUUCUCACACUUGCAAAAACUGCACCCGCCGAACUGCCGAAAAUAGCAAAAAAUGAUUAGCAAGGAGUGGGGAAAGUGGAUGGAGAAAGAUCUUGAAAAGCUUACUCCGUGCCUUUCGCACUUGUAGAAAUGCCUCUCUGGGUUUUCUACCGUCCGUGAGACAAACCACAUCACGAAGCCGGCGUUGCACUCCGGGUAACAGAUGAGAGGGAGAGGGAGCACCUGGUUGGCGGUGUAGUGCGACACAGAAGGCGUGGUGCUAAGCUGUGACUUGCAUGAACAUAUGGUGUUGAGCUGGGUGGGCGAACUGAGGAGUUGAAG
rnacentral:lncRNA from 1 species